UUAAUGUAUGUAUCACUGUUAACAUUGAGGUGUGAGGCAUUAAUGUAUGUAUCACUUAACAUUGAGAGUGAGGCAUUAAUGUAUGUAUCUGUUAACAUUGAGGUGUGAGGCAUUAAUGUAUGUAUCACUGUUGCUAACAUUGAGGUGUGAGGCAUUAAUGUAUGUAUCACUGUUGUUAACAUUGAGGUGUGAGGCAUUAAUGUAUGUAUCACUGUUAACAUUGAGGUGUGAGGCAUUAAUGUAUGUAUCUGUUAAUAAUUAGGUGUGACACAUUAAUGUAUGUAUCACUGUUGUUAAAAUUGAGGUGUGAGGCAUUAAUGUAUGUAUCACUGUUGUUAACAUUGAGGUGCGAGGCAUUAAUGUACAGUGUGUAUCACUGUUGUUAACAUUCAGGUGUGAGGCAUUAAUGUAUGUAUCACUGUUAUCAUUUGGUGUGAGGCAUUACUGUAUGUAUCACUGCUGUUAACAUUGACGUGUGAAGCAUUAAUGUAUGUAUCUGUUUUGGAGUGUGAGGCAUUAAUGUAUGUAUCUGUUAACAUUGAGGUGUGAGGCAUUAAUGUAUGUAUCACUGUUGUUAACAUUGAGGUGUGAGGCAUUAAUGUAUGUAUCUGUUAACAUUGAUGUGUGAGGCAGUAAUGUAUGUAUCACUGUUGUUAAGAUUGAGGUGUGAGGCAUUAAUGUAUGUAUCACUGUUGUUAACAUUGAGGUGUGAGGCAUUAAUGUAUGUAUCACUGUUGUUAACAUUGAGGUGUGAGGCAUUAAUGUAAGUAUCUGUUAACAUUGAGGUGCGAGGCAUUAAUGUAUGUAUCACUGUUGUUAACAUUGAUGUGUGAGGCAUUAAUGUAUGUAUCACUGUUGUUAACAUUGAGGUGUGAGGCAUUAAUGUAUGUAUCACUGUUGUUAACAUUGAGGUGUGAGGCAUUAAUG